rnacentral:rRNA from 1 species
UACAGAGGGUGCGAGCGUUAAUCGGAAUUACUGGGCGUAAAGCGUGCGUAGACGGUAGCGUAAGUCAGAUGUGAAAGCCCCGGGCUCAACCUGGGAACUGCAUUUGAGACUGCUCUGCUCGGGUGCGGAAGAGGGAAGCGGAAUUUCCGGUGUAGCGGUGAAAUGCGUAGAUAUCGGAAGGAACACCAGUGGCGAAAGCGGCUUCCUGGUCCGACACCGACGGUCAGGCACGAAAGCGUGGGGAGCAAACAGG